UACAGAGGUCUCAAGCGUUGUUCGGAUUCAUUGGGCGUAAAGGGUGCGUAGGCGGCGCGGUAAGUCGGGUGUGAAAUCUCGGAGCUUAACUCCGAAACUGCAUUCGAUACUGCCGUGCUUGAGGACUGGAGAGGGGACUGGAAUUUACGGUGUAGCGGUGAAAUGCGUAGAUAUCGUAAGGAAGACCAGUGGCGAAGGCGGGUCUCUGGACAGUUCCUGACGCUGAGGCACGAAGGUCAGGGGAGCAAACGGG
rnacentral:rRNA from 1 species